rnacentral:rRNA from 1 species
GACAGAGGAUGCAAGCGUUAUCCGGAAUGAUUGGGCAUAAAACGUCUAUAGGUGGCUUUUCAAGUCCGCCGUCAAAUCCUAGGGCUCAACCCUGGACAGGCGGUGGAAACUACCAAGCUAGAGUACAGUAGGGGCAGAGGGAAUUUCCGGUGGAGCGGUGAAAUGCAUUGAGAUCGGAAAGAACACCAAUGGCGAAAGCACUCUGCUGGGCCAACACUGACACUGAGAGACGAAAGCUAGGGGAGCAAAUGGG